UACGAAGGGGGCUAGCGUUGCUCGGAAUCACUGGGCGUAAAGGGUGCGUAGGCGGGUCUUUAAGUCAGGGGUGAAAUCCUGGAGCUCAACUCCAGAACUGCCUUUGAUACUGAGGAUCUUGAGUUCGGGAGAGGUGAGUGGAACUGCGAGUGUAGAGGUGAAAUUCGUAGAUAUUCGGAAGAACACCAGUGGCGAAGGCGGCUCACUGGACGACUAUUGACGCUGAGGUGCGAAAGCGUGGGGAGCAAACAGG
rnacentral:rRNA from 1 species